GAUGGUUUUCUGCACAACUGUCAGGUCAGCAGUCUUCCCCAUGAUUGUGAUUCCUACUGAACCAGACAGAGACCAUUUAAAGGCUCAGAAACCCUUUGCAGGUGUUAUGGCUUACUUAGCUGAUUAGAGUGGGACACUGUGAGCCUAGAAUAUUGCACCUUUUCACAAUAUUCUAAUUUACUGAGAUUGUGGAUUUGGGGUUUUCAUG